rnacentral:rRNA from 1 species
GUUGACCUCGGAUCAGGUAGGACUACCCGCUGAACUUAAGC